CCCUUAGAUGUCCUGGGCCGCACGCGCGUUACACUGAUGCAUUCAACGAGCUUAUAACCUUGGCCGAGAGGCCUGGGCAAUCUUGUUAACGUGCAUCGUGAUAGGGAUAGAUUAUUGAAAUUAUUAAUCUUGAACGAGGAAUUCCUAGUAAACGCAGAUCAUCAAUCUGCAUUGAUUACGUCCCUGCCCUUUGUACACACCGCCCGUCGCACCUACCGAUUGGAUGGUCCGGUGAAGCCUCGGGAUUGUGGUUCUUGCCGCUUUAUUGUGGCGUGACCGCGAAAACUUGUCUAAACCUUAUCAUCUAGAGGAAGGUGAAGUCGUAACA
rnacentral:rRNA from 1 species